rnacentral:rRNA from 1 species
UAGGGAAUCUUCGGCAAUGGACGCAAGUCUGACCGAGCAACGCCGCGUGAGUGAAGAAGGUUUUCGGAUCGUAACACUCUGUUGUUAGAGAAGAACAAGGACGUUAGUAACUGAACGUCCCCUGACGGUAUCUAACCAGAAAGCCACGGCUAACUACGUGCCAGCAGCCGCGGUAAUACGUAGGUGGCAAGCGUUGUCCGGAUUUAUUGGGCGUAAAGCGAGCGCAGGCGGUUUCUUAAGUCUGAUGUGAAAGCCCCCGGCUCAACCGGGGAGGGUCAUUGGAAACUGGGAGGCUUGAGUGCAGAAGAGGAGGGAGGAAUUCCAUGUGUGGCGGUGAAAUGCGUAGAUAGAUGGAGGAACACCAGUGGCGAAGGCGGCUCUCUGGGCUGUAACUGACGCUGAGGCUCGAAAGCGUGGGGAGCAAACAGG